GAUGAACGCUAGCGGGAGGCCUAACACAUGCAAGUCGAACGGGAUUGGUAGCAAUACCAUGAGAGUGGCGCACGGGUGAGUAACGCGUAUGCAACCUGCCUUUAACUGAGGGAUAGCCCAUAGAAAUGUGGAUUAAUACCUCAUAGUUCUGAGAAGCUGCAUGGUUUUUCAGAUAAAGCUCCGGCGGUUAAAGAUGGGCAUGCGUGACAUUAGCUAGUUGGUAAGGUAACGGCUUACCAAGGCUACGAUGUCUAGGGGUUCUGAGAGGAUGAUCCCCCAAACUGGUACUGAGACACGAACCAGACUCCUACGGGAGGCAGCAGUGAGGAAUAUUGGUCAAUGGGCGCAAGCCUGAACCAGCCAUCCCGCGUGCAGGAUGACGGCCCUAUGGGUUGUAAACUGCUUUUGUACAGGAAGAAAAAUCCCUACGUGUAGGGACCUGCCGGUACUGUACGAAUAAGCAUCGGCUAACUCCGUGCCAGCAGCCGCCGUAAAAC
rnacentral:rRNA from 1 species